UAGAGGCGGAUGGGGAAAACACAGGACUCCAAAAUGAGAGCAAAAGAAGAUUAUUGCUUUGAACCACUCAUGUGGUAACUAAGUCUAGGAACAAUGAGGGUUGCAGCGGAAACAGCGGCAUUGGGAGAGCAAGCUUCCUUCCACCAGCUGCAGUCAAAGCUGCAGGUUCUCUGGGGCAGGGAACUGGUCUGUGCUGUGCUGUAGCUGCCAGAGGACAAACAGUGCAGGUUGAGUAAGAUCCUCUUCAAAGGACCAGAUCCCAGGCCUUCAGCCACAGUGGCUCACGGGAAAGGUAUCCCCUCACACAAAUGGUGGCAUGAGACCAUCUGAAAGGAAGAAAAAAGCAGAUGGUUAGGCUUUGCUUACAAUGGUUACAUCCCUCUCUAACAAUAGCGAGUGUGUUGAUGAAUUUCACUUCAUAAAUUAUAACUGCUGCUCCUUUAACAGUGGUGAUAGAAAAUAAAUCCAAAUUCUCGAUCUCCAACCACAAUAUCAUUAAGGACCUUCACGUCUCCGCCCUCUGUGGAUUGCAAACCAUACAUCCAACAUGGCAUAAAUUCAGAAUCCUGGAGAGUGACACAGCUGAGCUAUAGGUCACAUUCGAAAGGCAAUACUACUUAUGCUCCCUCCUGGGACAAGCCGAGGACACCAGAUAAGCUUGAAAAGCCUAAGCAUUGGCCAGCUUCCUGCAGAAGUUUCUAAACCCCUGCCUUUCCCAACAGGACUACUGAAAAGAAAGAUGAAGCUCUCCAGGAUGCCAAGAAGGUCAUUUGCCCAAGGCCUCAGAGCCAGGGGAAGGUUCUGGGUGUGAACCAAGCUCUCUGGCCUGUCCUCAUACUCAAAAUGGAAGGGACAAGUCGGUGCAGUUGGGGAUUCCGUUCCUCUAAUUAUUCCAGUUACCAGAGGCUUUCAUAUCUUUUCCUUGUCAUCCUAAAUGAUUCGUUUUGAGUGCUGAGGUUUCAUGUUGAAAAUAUAAUGAGAACCUUCGUGAGUUUGGAAUGAGAUGCAGAAAAUUGCACUGGUGGCAUUUCUCUGGGGACUGUGAAAGGGAAACCCUGGAGGUAGGAAGUGGAUCUGGUACCCCUGGGGGACUCUUGGGUCACCGAGCAGCACACACUUCUCUGGGUUCCAAUUUUCCAGCUCUUUUCUGAGAAACGUCGCUUGCCUUUGUCUUAUAAUCAUGGAGAAGGGGGAGACACACUGUGGGAAAAAGCAGCGUCUGGUACUACUAAGUAAUUAUUUGGAAUGAGAGGUUGGCCAUCUUAUAAGUAGCACUGGGGAGAAAAGGGAGGUCAAGAAGAGGGCGGCCAAACAGAAAAAAAAAAAAUCAACUUUUCUAGAUGCUACCAGAAGAAAAUCAGGCGUGUUGGGUUGGGCUUUGUGGGUGCCCAAAUAACCAGGUAAAACAUUUUAAAUACAGCUAAUAUAACUAUUUUGAAUUUGUGAUGCCGAACAACUAGCUUGUCUGGUAUCUGCUCCUGCUUGGAAACUUCGCAAAGAAUGAAUGUCUACUCUGCACCAUGGAGAUAGAAUGUUUUCAGAGACUUUUCAUGGAGGCAAGUAAAUUGUGCCCCAUUGAGUGCUUCAAAAAAUGCCGUUUUCAAAAAUCUG